GGCCAGACUCCUACGGGAGGCAGCAGUGAGGAAUAUUGGUCAAUGGGCGGAAGCCUGAACCAGCCAAGUCGCGUGAGGGAAGAAGGCCCUGCGGGUCGCAGACCUCUUUGGACGGGGAGCAAGGCCGCCGACGUGUCGGCGGAAGGAGAGUACCCGUAGAACAAGCAUCGGCUAACUCCGUGCCAGCAGCCGCGGUAAUACGGAGGAUGCGAGCGUUAUCCGGAUUCACUGGGUGUAAAGGGAGCGUAGACGGCCAUGCAAGCCAGGGGUGAAAGCCCGGGGCCCAACCCCGGGACUGCCCUUGGAACUGCAUGGCUGGAGUGCGGGAGGGGCAGGCGGAAUUCCUGGUGUAGCGGUGAAAUGCGUAGAUAUCAGGAGGAACACCAGUGGCGAAGGCGGCCUGCUGGACGACAACUGACGGUGAGGCGCGAAAGCGUGGGGAGCAAACAGGAUUAGAUACCCUUGUAA
rnacentral:rRNA from 1 species